UACGAGGGGGGCGAGCGUUGUGCGGAAUUAUUGGGCGUAAAGGGUGCGUAGGCGGCCUGACAAGUCUGAUGUGAAAUCCCUGGGCUCAACCCAGGGCCUGCAUCGGAAACUGUCGGGCUUGGAGUAUGGGAGAGGUGAGUGGAAUUUCCGGUGUAGCGGUGAAAUGCGUAGAUAUCGGAAGGAACACCAGUGGCGAAGGCGGCGAUCUGGGGAAGAUACUGACGCUGAGGUGCGAAAGCGUGGGGAGCAAACAGG
rnacentral:rRNA from 1 species